rnacentral:rRNA from 1 species
UACGGAGGAUCCAAGCGUUAUCCGGAAUCAUUGGGUUUAAAGGGUCCGUAGGCGGUUUUGUAAGUCAGUGGUGAAAGCCCAUCGCUCAACGGUGGAACGGCCAUUGAUACUGCAAGACUUGAAUUAUUAGGAAGUAACUAGAAUAUGUAGUGUAGCGGUGAAAUGCUUAGAGAUUACAUGGAAUACCAAUUGCGAAGGCAGGUUACUACUAAUUUGAUUUGACGCUGAUGGACGAAAAG